AGCGAACGCUGGCGGCAGGCUUAACACAUGCAAGUCGAGCGGGCACUUUCGGGUGUCAGCGGCGGACGGGUGGGUAACGCGUGGGAACGUGCCCUCUGGUUCGGAAUAACUCAGGGAAACUUGAGCUAAUACCGGAUACGCCCUUUUGGGGAAAGGCUUGCUGCCGGAGGAUCGCCCCGCGUCUGAUUAGCUAGUUGGUGAGGUAACGGCUCACCAAGGCGACGAUCAGUAGCUGGUCUGAGAGGAUGAUCAGCCACACUGGGACUGAGACACGGCCCAGACUCCUACGGGAGGCAGCAGUGGGGAAUAUUGGACGAUGGGCGCAAGCCUGAUCCAGCCAUGCCGCGUGAGUGAUGAAGGCCUUAGGGUUGUAAAGCUCUUUUAUCCGGGACGAUAAUGACGGUACCGGAGGAAUAAGCCCCGGCUAACUUCGUG
rnacentral:rRNA from 1 species